AGCCUAAAAGCGGCCAUUUUGUGCCUCCCUGAUGAAAGGCCUCGAUGGCUGCAACAUGUCGGCAUGUUGUUUUUCUUUAAAUGUGAUAAAUUAAAGUGUUUUAACUGGUUUGAGGGCACAAGAGGACGGCGGAGAGGACAUCCUUCAUCUCCUCUACAGCAGUGAGCCGCCGUCAGAGCUCGAAGGAGGAAAGAAAACAACAAAAUCAAAGAUGGUGUGUUUCUGUGCAUGCGUCUCCAGCCGGCCUGCUAUCAGAGCUGACAGGAAACAGGCGAAGGCCCCCGGGGCCCCGGGCUCCUUCUUCCCCUGCAGCCCCACCUCCACAGGAAAGCCCCCAGACUGCCGCCCAAAUACCUCCACAGAUUCUUCCUCUCCCUCCCUCUCAGAUGCAGCGAGAGGCCCUUCGCGGCUUCGCCUCGCUUCCACCGCGGGCCUCGGAAAUACCUGAGACCCCCGAGCGCGGUCGCCGUUAGUCUGCUGCUGCGCUUUGACCGAAAUUCAGUGCCGAGAGGUUCAAACUGCAGAUGUUCACGCUCAGAUUCAAACCGCUGCUCGAAUCUGAGACUUUGGAUUCUGAUUUAAUGUGCUGAACGCCUGAAACAAGAGCAGACUGCUGAUCUGUAAUAUUAUAUCAUACAUUUUUAUGUUUUAAUUCAAAGUAACACAAUUUUGUUAUUAAAUAAAAUGUUUCUGCUGAA